UGAAUUCAUCUCCGGGGGUAGAGCACUGUUUCGGCUAGGGGGCCAUCCCGGCUUACCAACCCGAUGCAAACUGCGAAUACCGGAGAAUGUUAUCACGGGAGACACACGGCGGGUGCUAACGUCCGUCGUGAAGAGGGAAACAACCCAGACCGCCAGCUAAGGUCCCAAAGUCAUGGUUAAGUGGGAAACGAUGUGGGAAGGCCCAGACAGCCAGGAUGUUGGCUUAGAAGCAGCCAUCAUUUAAAGAAAGCGUAAUAGCUCACUGGUCGAGUCGGCCUGCGCGGAAGAUGUAACGGGGCUAAACCAUGCACCGAAGCUGCGGCAGCGACGCUGAUGCGUUGUUGGGUAGGGGAGCGUUCUGUAAGCCUGUGAAGGUGGCCUGUGAGGGUUGCUGGAGGUAUCAGAAGUGCGAAUGCUGACAUAAGUAACGAUAAAGCGGGUGAAAAGCCCGCUCGCCGGAAGACCAAGGGUUCCUGUCCAACGUUAAUCGGGGCAGGGUGAGUCGACCCCUAAGGCGAGGCCGAAAGGCGUAGUCGAUGGGAAACGGGUUAAUAUUCCCGUACUUGGUGUUACUGCGAAGGGGGGACGGAGAAGGCUAUGUUGGCCGGGCGACGGUUGUCCCGGUUUAAGCGUGUAGGUGUGUGUUCCAGGUAAAUCCGGUUCACUUUAACACUGAGGCGUGAUGACGAGGCACUACGGUGCUGAAGCAACAAAUGCCCUGCUUCCAGGAAAAGCCUCUAAGCAUCAGGUAACAUCAAAUCGUACCCCAAACCGACACAGGUGGUCAGGUAGAGAAUACCAAGGCGCUUGAGAGAACUCGGGUGAAGGAACUAGGCAAAAUGGUGCCGUAACUUCGGGAGAAGGCACGCUGACAC
rnacentral:rRNA from 1 species